rnacentral:tRNA from 1 species
CUGUAGCGCAAUAGACAACGCGUUGGACUUCUAAUCCUAAGAUCGUGGGUUAAAAUACCACCUGAAAUGG